CUGGGCAGUGGGGAGUGGUGAGCUCCAUUGUAUACACUUGGAAGCAGCCCAGAAAGGUGAAGACCUGUUCGUGAACUCCAGAGGCCAUUGGAAGCGUGGAAGGCUAUGGCUGGCACUCUUCCUCUUUUUCCAGUUCACUGAGGCAGAUGGGAGGACCGGAGGAGAAAGAAUGAAGGAUGGCAUUUCAGCCCGAGUAAACUCCCCAGGCCCGCUCUGUGCCAGGCGGUGUUGCAAGCCUCGGCUUCUAGCACAGUGCUUUGUGCACAGUAAACACUCCAGCGGCUGUUGACCAAUGAAUGAAUGAAGAUUGUAGGCUCAAAUAUUCAAGUUAUCAAAGUGCAAAGAAUGAGGGGUUGUUUGCACUGGACUUCAAAAAUAAAUAGCCUGGACCUGUACUGUCUUACACAACAGCUAUGAGCUACUGGUAUGUGGCUAGUCCAAACUGAAAUGCCCUUUAAGAGUAAAACACACACUGGAUUUCAAAGACUUAGUACAAAGAAAAAAUGCAAAAUAGCUCAUUAGUAAUUUUUAUGUUAAUGACAUGUUGAAAUAACAUUUUGAUAUAUUGAGUUAAGUAAAAUAUAGUAUUAGAAUUAA
rnacentral:antisense_RNA from 1 species